CCUACGGGAGGCAGCAGUGAGGAAUAUUGGUCAAUGGACGAGAGUCUGAACCAGCCAAGUAGCGUGAAGGAUGACUGCCCUAUGGGUUGUAAACUUCUUUUAUAUGGGAAUAAAGUGAGCCACGUGUGGCUUUUUGUAUGUACCCUAUGAAUAAGCAUCGGCUAACUCCGUGCCAGCAGCCGCGGUAAUACGGAGGAUGCGAGCGUUAUCCGGAUUUAUUGGGUUUAAAGGGAGCGUAGGUGGAUUGUUAAGUCAGUUGUGAAAGUUUGCGGCUCAACCGUAAAAUUGCAGUUGAAACUGGCAGUCUUGAGUACAGUAGAGGUGGGCGGAAUUCGUGGUGUAGCGGUGAAAUGCUUAGAUAUCACGAAGAACUCCGAUUGCGAAGGCAGCUUGCUGGACUGUAACUGACGCUGAUGCUCGAAAG
rnacentral:rRNA from 1 species